GGAAGUAAAAGUCGUAACGAGGUCUCCGUUGGUGAACCAGCGGAGGGAUCAUUACAGAGUUGCAAAACUCCCAAACCAUUGUGAACGUUACCUAUCCCGUUGCUUCGGCGGGCGGCCCGGGCCCCGCGCCCGGCGCCCCCCGGCCCCCCGUGGGCGCCCGCCGGAGGUAAACCAAACCCUCGAAUUGCAUGGCCUCUCUGAGUCUUCUGUACUGAAUAAGUCAAAACUUUCAACAACGGAUCUCUUGGUUCUG
rnacentral:misc_RNA from 1 species